GCAGGAUAGGUCGGGAAGGUAGGGGCUUCCUGUUGCUGCAAAUCCCCUUUGGCAGGACCGAAAAGCCGCUGGCGCAUUGCCGUUUUAUCCGCUCAGGAUUGCAAAAAGGCGUAGACGCUUUGCCCAGCCGGAUGCAGUAUGGCGUGAAUCGGGCCAGGCCGGAAGGAGCAACCCUAAGCUUCAUGGUGCGUGCUGGCUGGUAACAAGGCCGAGCUGAUUUGCAAACACCGUCGCUUAAAGCCCAUUGCCACAACGGCGAUUCUUGC
rnacentral:SRP_RNA from 1 species